GGAUAAGAAGGAAGAUAUAACAACUGGACUUUGUAUAGAUUGGGGAAAGAUACUUGGAGGUUUUUACUGCUUGACUUGAGGAAAAUGGAGAACAAUAAAUUAGAUCAUUGCCUUCAAAACCAAAGUAUGGGAGAAAAUAUUGUGCUUAGGCAUUAACAUUUUGUUAAAAAAGAGGAACCUAGUGACCAGGAGAUGACCGGGGAAAUUUAACAUGUAUGACUGCAUUAUAACAACAAUUUAAAGGUGUCAAGCUCAUUCAUCUUUGUACUUGGUGGUCUAGCAAGUUGUUGCCACAUUGUAGAGUUUCAAUAAAUGCCUGCGGAAACGUUACUCAGAGAUAUCCUGUCAAAUGGAGAGGACAAAUGUCACUGUGCUAUCAGACAAAAGAGGAAAGGCUGCCUUUAUAGUAAUUCUUCCAAUAUAUGAGAAGUUGUGCCAAACUUCUCAUAAUUCAAGUGGGAUACAUUUCCUAUAAGAAAGAGGGGCAUCUCUCUUCAGAAUAGCCUAUUUUGUUGUUUCCAUGGAGCUCUCACGUUCAAGGCACACAGAGAGAGAGAGAGAGAGGCAGAGACACAGGCAGAGGGAGA